UCUUAAAAUACAUUAUUGUAUUAAAUAGUAUACCUAUAUCAUUUACUUGGUGGAAAAAAACUCCUGAGUUUUGUUUUAAGAGUAGAGUCAAAAUUCGUGCAGUGAAGCGAAAUAGGCAAAUAUUAACGCAGAAAACACUUAAAAAAUUCUUAAACCUUGCUUACCCCGAGGCUAGAGACAGCAACACUCGUUUCUACGCUUACAACUCCAUGAAAAAUUAUAAAACAAAGGGAUGAAACAAAAAAGAAAAUGAGAACCCCUUUCAUUAAAGGACCUUUACAAAAACGUUAAACAAAGUUUCAGUUAUACGAAAGGUAAUAAUGAAAUAAUGAAAACAAUAUGAACACGAUCGAACGAAAUUCUCUACAUCAAACUUGAAGUAAUAGGUGACGGUGUAGUGUCAGAAAGUGAUAUGCGACAUUGAUAUUAACACUUAUAGCAUUUGAAGACUACAAGCAUCAAAAUAGCGUACCACACUAC